CCUACGGGUGGCAGCAGUCGAGAAUCAUUCACAAUGGGGGAAACCCUGAUGGUGCGACGCCGCGUGGGGGAAUGAAGGUCUUCGGAUUGUAAACCCCUGUCAUGCGGGAGCAAAUUAAAAAGAUAGUACCACACGAGGAAGAGACGGCUAACUCUGUGCCAGCAGCCGCGGUAAUACAGAGGUCUCAAGCGUUGUUCGGCAUCACUGGGCGUAAAGCGUGCGUAGGCUGUUUCGUAAGUCGUGUGUGAAAGGCGCGGGCUCAACCCGCGGACGGCACAUGAUACUGCGAGACUAGAGUAAUGGAGGGGGAACCGGAAUUCUCGGUGUAGCAGUGAAAUGCGUAGAUAGCGAGAGGAACACUCGUGGCGAAGGCGGGUUCCUGGACAUUAACUGACGCUGAGGCACGAAGGCCAGGGGAGCGAAAGGGAUUAGAUACCCCAGUAGUC
rnacentral:rRNA from 1 species